rnacentral:tRNA from 1 species
GUCUCAUUGGUCUAGUGGUAUGAUUCUUGCUUUGGGUGUAAGAGGCCUCGGGUUCAAAUCCCGGAUGAGCCCCUACA